UACGGAGGGAGCUAGCGUUGUUCGGAAUUACGUGGGCGUAAAGCGUACGUAGGCGGUUAUUCAAGUCAGAGGUGAAAGCCCGGGGCUCAACCCCGGAACUGCCUUUGAAACUAGAUAGCUAGAAUCUUGGAGAGGUCAGUGGAAUUCCGAGUGUAGAGGUGAAAUUCGUAGAUAUUCGGAAGAACACCAGUGGCGAAGGCGACUGACUGGACAAGUAUUGACGCUGAGGUACGAAAGCGAUGGGGAGCAAACGGG
rnacentral:rRNA from 1 species